ACUUUAUAAAUAUGUAUUGUAUGUGUCUCUUUCAUUUCCGGUUGCUGGUCUUUCUCUUGCAUUUGUAAUUUGUACCUACCCUCUCUGUCUACCUCCUUAGAGUGGGAGAAAGACUAAACCCAAGAUUUCUUUUGUCCACCAUGGACGUUCCGACUUGUUGAGAUUCUCUUCAUUUCUCAAGAUUGCGGAAUCAAUGGCCGUCUCUUCGUACAAAAUUAUCGCCUUUUUUCUUGGUAUUUUUGAAAUUCGUCAAAUGGCCGUUAAUCUCCACUCCAUAACAGAGGCAACCUUGGAGCCAUUGGAGCUCUAUUAAGCACAACCAUUCUAUAUCCUCUCCAUACCUGUAAAACCAAGUACGAGGCUGAAGUUCAAGCACAUGGUUAGCAAAAGUACAGAAUGUAGCUUCAUCUUUGUCGCUGCUAAACCAGUCGACAACCAGUGCUUGGGAAGAUGGAGAGAGGUCAUAUGAGGAAUGAGGUGCCUGUAUUUUGCCGUUGCGUCAAAGAGGAGAGGGUGUUGCUGCUGCUGAUUAGAAACACUUCCAUCUACCCUCUUCCGAACCCGUGUAACCCUGCGAGAUGCGAUGGAGAACGCUGUCGUCUAGAUAUACUCUCGUUGGAGAACGUUGCCGUCUAGAUCUACUCUCUUCUUUAUUUAAUUCACUUAUUGUUGCUUCUGGUUAUUCCUACUGUUUUAGAAGAGGGAAGAAGGGGAGAGAGAGACAGAGAGAUGGGAGAGCAGGACAAAGUUUGUCUUCUACCACUUCGGAGACGAGUUGUGUGUUUUGUCAUCGGAACUGUUCGAAGACGAGCUCCACUAUUUUGUC